rnacentral:rRNA from 1 species
AUUGAACGCUGGCGGCAGGCCUAACACAUGCAAGUCGAACGAGUGGCGGACGGGUGAGUAAUGUCUGGGAAACUGCCUGAUGGAGGGGGAUCACUACUGGAAACGGUAGCUAAUACCGCAUACCAUCAGAUGUGCCCAGAUGGGAUUAGCUAGUAGUUGGGGUAACGGCUCACCUAGGCGACGAUCCCUAGCUGGUCUGAGAGGAUGACCAGCCACACUGGAACGGAGACACGGUCAAGACUCCUAGGGGAGGCAGAAGUGGGGAAUAUUGCAGAAUGGGCGAAAGGCGGAUGAAGGCAAGGGGGGUGGAUGAAGAAGGCCUUGGGGUUGUAAAGUACUUUCAGCGGGCAGGCGUUACCCACAGAGGAAGCAUCGGCUAACUCCGAGCCAGCAGCCGCGGUAAUAC